GGUGACCUGCCGACACUCGAAGAUUUUGCUGUACAUAAGGUUCAACCUAAGCAUUGGGGUCACUGUCUUCCUAUGAUUUGCAUACAAUAAAAUUGGUGACCAACGAUUUCUCCAACGAGAACAAACUUGGGGAAGGCGGAUUUGGUGUAGUUUACAAGGGCCCAAAUGAGUUCCAUAAUGAGCUCUCACUUAUUGCCAAGUUACAACAUAGAAACCUUGUUCGUCUGUUGGGCUCCUGCAUUGAAAGAGAUGGGUGGCUUAUUAUCUUGGAAUACAUGGAAAAUAAGAGCUUAGAUGCUUUCCUUUUUG